rnacentral:rRNA from 1 species
UUUAUUUAUUUUAUUAUAAUUGUUUUUUGUUAGUUUAUUUUUUUAUAAAAUAAAUUUUAUUUAUUAUUUUGUCUUAGCAUAUUUUGUAGAAUUGAUUUUUUUAUUAUAGUUUAUUAGUAAUGUAAUUGGAUUAUGAAAUAAUUUUUUAAUUAUCAAAAAGAAGGUUUAAUUUAUCGUACCUUUUGUAACAGGGUUUAUUAAAUAUUUAGUAUUUAUUUACUAAUCUCAAUUUAGGUUGAUUUACAAGUAAAUUAAAGUUAAUGUGUCAUAAUUAUUUUAUAAUUUAUUUGUAGAAAUGAUAUGUUAAUCGUUUCGUAAUAUAUCUAGUUUCUUAAGAAAAAAUUUAAUUUUUAAAAGUCAACAGUUAUUAUUUACAUUUAUAUGUUGAAAUAUUGACUUAUUUAUUAUUUAGGGGAUAAGCUCUAGAGUUUUCCUGUAAUUUUAUUAAAUUUGAUUUAAUAGUAAGCUUUAAACCAGCUAUCUUUUUGAUUACAUUUUAGUUCAUUAUUUUUUAUUUUGAUUUUAUAAUUAUUUUAGGUUUAACAUUAAGAUUAUUAAGUUAGUUCUUUAAUUAUUGUAAUAAAGAUAGAAUUAGUAUAUAUGUAUUGUUUUUAAUAUUUAAGAUGUUAAUUUAUUAUAAGGAAUUAGGCAAAAUUGAUUUCCGCCUGUUUAUCAAAAACAU